rnacentral:rRNA from 1 species
UGGCGCACGGGUGCGUAACACGUAUGCAACCUACCUUAUACUGGGGGAUAGCCUUUGGAAACGGAGAUUAAUACCCCAUAGUACAUUUGAUUGGCAUCAAUUAAAUGUUAAAGAUUUAUCGGUAUAAGCUGGGCAUGCGUCCAAUUAAUUAGUUGGUGAGGUAAUGGCUCACCAAGACUUUGACUGGUAGGGGAACUGAGAGGUUAAUCCCCCACACUGGCACUGAGAUACGGGCCAGACUCCUACAGGAGGCAGCAAUAGGGAAUAUUGGGCAAUGGAGGCAACUCUGACCCAGCCAUGCCGCGUGCAGGAAGAAGGCGUUAUGCGUUGUAAACUGCUUUUAUAUAGGAAGAAAUAGUCCUUGCGAGGAAAGUUGACGGUACUAUAUGAAUAAGCACCGGCUAACUCCGUGCCAGCAGCCGCGGUAAUACGGAGGGUGCAAGCGUUGUCCGGAUCUAUUGGGUUUAAAGGGUGCGUAGGCGGUUUAUUAAGUCAGUGGUGAAAGACGGUCGCUCAACGAUUGCAGUGCCAUUGAUACUGGUAGACUUGAGUGGGAUUGAGGUAGCUGGAAUGGAUAGUGUAGCGGUGAAAUGCAUAGAUAUUAUCCAGAACACCAAUUGCGUAGGCAAGUUACUAAGUCUCAACUGACGCUGAGGCACGAAAGUGUGGGUAUCAAACAGGAUUAGAUACCCUGGUAGUCCACACUGUAAACGAUG